rnacentral:misc_RNA from 1 species
AGCCGGGUUUCGCCACGGUGCUCGGCGGACCCAACGAUCCAAUCCCGACGCCGUUCCGUCUUCCGGACAGUUUGCUUCAGUUGAUCACGCAGCUGAUCAACAGCAAGCCGGGCCAGACCGGUGGUGUCGCCAAUAUUCCGACGCAAGGCAACGUGCCGGACGGCUUCAAAUUCACCGUUGUCACCGACCCGACCGCUCCGCCGGGCACCGAUCCGCUGGGCUACAUCUCGAUCUUUGGCGCCGGCAACAGCGCCGGCAAGAGCGUGUCGCAGACCGGCCAGGGUGGCAGCGUCACGCCGCCGCCGACGACAACACCGCCGCCGUGCGUCGGCUAUGGUUGCUAAGGCGUGCACUCGUUAGCGCGCAGCCACAGCCUGACGGACGCAAGCAUUGGUGGGUCGUCGUUCAGAAAAUUCCCAGCCCUCGAUCCUAAAUUCCUGAGGGUGGUACCCUCACUUCACUUAUCUGAUCGAUGGACGUGAAGCCCGCCGGACCGAUGCAGAAUCCCUCGGUCGCCGCGUGGCGCCAAUCUGUAUGAACAAUCUCGCGUCCCACCCACGCCGCUUCACCAGGCACCGGCGGGGUAUUGAUCCAGUGUGCGGACUGCCAGCGCAUGAAAUGCAGGUAGAGAAAUUCCCGGCCGCCAUCACGCUCAUUGGUCAGAUGGCCGCCCCGCCAAUACCAGCGCUGCGGAUAGUUCAUGGUGCCGUCGUGCCAGCCUCGCACGCUCAGCACCGUACUGUGACGUUCGACGAAUAAGGAGCGGUAGGCCGGCGACUUCAAAAAGAUUUGAGAAAACAGGGUCUCCUCAACCGCAGUCUGGUGCGGCGUUUCGAGCAACGCGCGGUAAUUGGGCAUACCCUCGAAGGCAUAGCGCAGAGCGGCCGUAUUGCGUAGCACCGCGAAGUGGCCGGAGAGCCGCUCGGGAUGCGUGGACACCACGUCAAGUUCGGCGAAUUGCUGCGGUCCGUAGAAACGCGAGAUGUCCCCGUAGAUCACAUCGAGAUCGCCGUAUCCAAAAAACGGAAAGCCGACUGUAUCCUGUUCGUGGAGAAAACCGAGAGCCGGCCUGAGAUCGCAAAGCUUGUAGGGAUGAGCGGGAUCAAAUGCGAUAUCGAGGCGUUCGCGUGCAAGAGCUUUGUAGUCAUCGAAACUGAUUGGAACGUAGUCGAUGUUGUCAGCCCUGUUCUCGGGUUCUCCGCAGUCGGUGUAGAUACGCCACCUGACGCCGGCAUUCCACUUACAGCUUUCAACGAAGAAAUUUAUCCACGCUGGCCAUCGUCCAAAAUAAAAGCAGAGAAGGAUGAGCCAUGGGUUCAUAAUGAGUAUGUUCGUGUUGAGCCGCCUCUGUUGGCAGCGGCGUCGUCUGCAAGCAAGCGUAGCGCGAUGCCCUUUGCUGGUACAUCGCGUCAUUUCGCUGCAAUGCAAUGCCUUGUCGGCUUUCGGAGCGAAGCUACAUUCAGCGCGGUCACAGAAACCGGAUUUAUGAGUACGCCGCCAGCCAGGCCCCGCGGCCUUCUACGCCGCGAUCUUCACGUAUU